UCCGAAUUGGUGUAGUGGCUAACAUUUGGUGCUCUCAUAUAGAUAUCAUUCAAACAGUUGUCUAAGUGAUCCACCAAGCCCGGGGUUCGAUUCCCCGAUUCGGAG